rnacentral:rRNA from 1 species
GACGAACGCUGGCGGCGCGCCUAACACAUGCAAGUCGAACGAGCGAGAGAGAGCUUGCUUUCUCAAGCGAGUGGCGAACGGGUGAGUAACGCGUGAGGAACCUGCCUCAAGGAGGGGGACAACAGUUGGAAACGACUGCUAAUACCGCAUAAGCCCACGACCCGGCAUCGGGUAGAGGGAAAAGGAGCAAUCCGCUUUGAGAUGGCCUCGCGUCCGAUUAGCUAGUUGGUGAGGUAACGGCCCACCAAGGCGACGAUCGGUAGCCGGACUGAGAGGUUGAACGGCCACAUUGGGACUGAGACACGGCCCAGACUCCGACGGGAGGCAGCAGUGGGGAAUAUUGCACAAUGGGGGAAACCCUGAUGCAGCGACGCCGAGGGGAGGAAGAAGGUCUUCGGAUUGUAAACUCCUGUUGUUGAGGAAGAUAAUGACGGUACUCAAAAAGGAAGUGACGGCUAACUACGUG